rnacentral:rRNA from 1 species
UACGUAGGGUGCGAGCGUUAAUCGGAAUUACUGGGCGUAAAGAGUGCGUAGGCGGUUCUCCAAGUCCGUUGUGAAAGCCCCGGGCUCAACCUGGGAAUGGCAGUGGAAACUAGGGGACUGGAAUCUGGCAGAGGGGGGUGGAAUGCCGCGUGUAGCAGUGAAAUGCGUAGAGAUGCGGCGGAACACCGAUGGCGAAGGCAGCCCCCUGGGCUGAGAUUGACGCUCAGGCACGAAAGCGUGGGGAGCAAACAGG